UACGAAGGGUGCAAGCGUUGUUCGGAUUUAUUGGGCGUAAAGCGCGCGUAGGCGGACCUGCAAGUCAGAUGUGAAAUCUCGGGGCUCAACCUCGAAACUGCGUCUGAAACUACAGGUCUAGAAUCUUGGAGGGGGUAGGGGAAUUUCGCAUGUAGGGGUAAAAUCCGUAGAUAUGCGAAGGAACACCAGAGGCGAAGGCGCCUACCUGGACAAGUAUUGACGCUGAGGCGCGAAAGCGUGGGGAUCAAACAGG
rnacentral:rRNA from 1 species